CGGCAGGAAUUUAAGAUGCAGUCUUAAGCAUAGUUCCCUAGCCUCUUGGCCAGAUAACAUAGGGAUUGUUCAGUGACUAAUACCAUUUCUAUAAUUGCGAAAUUACCCUGGUAUGUAGCUAAUUGCACAAUUCUAGUCUAGCACUUUGAAUGUAAACUGAAGAACUUGCAGUGUUACUCUCGAAGCUGCGUGAAAUUUUAAUCUCUAGACUCACAAUUCAAUUCACAGAUUCAAACUACCGUGCUUUAUCUCCAGUAAAGGGCAACUGUGACAUAGGCCUCUUCAAAAUGGCACUCCCUCGGGAUCAAGGAAGGCUUGCUUCCACUCCAGUUUGAUCUGUCCAAUGUGCGAUCUGCAGACUCUGCCACAUGCAGAGCGGGUGGUGCUUGGAGGAUUGGAGACGGGUUGUCUGGAGCUUUUUUCACUCUCUCCACCACCUUGAACUGCAUGUCCCAGAUGACAUCUCUAGGUGCUUGGUGCCUUCCUGAAUAAAACUUCUCCCAACUUGGUUGGUCACCAUGAGUCAGUGGAGAUGUGGACAUCUUUGUGGACAUCCCUGAAGCAUUUUGGUGAAGGUGGCUUUGAGUGAUUAGCACCUCGAUGCUGGGCAUGUUGGCUUAAUUGGGAGAAGUAAAUGGCUGUCUCACUGGCUUUAAAAUGGUCUCUCUGCCUCAUUUGCUGCAGACAACAACAGCCAUAUUUGGGGCUCCAAAGUUAGUCAGAAGAUUUCAGAAUCAGACUCCUGGAGGUUAAGUACUAUACCUUUCUUUUCACCCAAGCACGUCCUGGGACAAGGAAAGCAAUUUUACCUGUAUACAGCUGCAAAUACCUGUCUCCCACAGACUUCAAAAUGGCUACCUCACCUGAUGUAAAAUUCCUCAACAGGCAUAUCUGGUGCUGCAAAAUUUAAAUCAGCUUGCAGAGUCACGAAAUGGGCCUUUUCUGGGUUUUCAAGCUCUUCCUUGCAAAAAAAAAGUCCUGUUCAUUUGGAUAUGCUUGGAAAAUUUGGUUCAAAGUUUUUGAAGAACAUAUUGUGUUACCUUUGAGUGCGAUCGAAUGCCUCUCCUCGCAUUUGAUUCAGAAUGACAAACUCGGUCACAGGACCCAAUGUCAAGCUGACAUGAAAUGGCGAUGCAAGAUGACGUGGCAUGAAAUGGCGACGUGAAACAAUGCAACCGAGGAGAUGCAAAACGACGCAGAACGAUGAUGUGCAAUGACGAAACGGAAUGACUUAAACAACUUAAAAUCGAAAUUGAAGACUUAACUCGGGAAUAUGGGCCCUGAAACUACAUGACUUUAAAUCAAAAUGGUUUAAAACAGGGCAACUCAAAGGAAGGGCUUAUUGAGUAUAACUUACCGUGAAUAAUUCUCAAACAAAAAACAGAGUUGAAUGUGCCUGCAUGGGUGGGAUUCUGGACACUGUGGUAAAGUGGCCAUGUUAAAAGGUGGCAGUGUAAAUGCCGAGCAGAAGAGGAGGAAGGUUAAAUUAAACUCCAAGUAAGUUACUUGGAAAUGUCUCUAGGAUGUGUACAUUUAUUACUGCAGUGUUUCAUUCUCACCUACAAGGGAUGUAAGGAUGCCAUUCCUUAUGUGAGAAACUUCAUGUUGUAUAACACCCUCACUUCUAAGAUGACUUCAGUAAAGUUUUGCAAUAAGAGAUUUGGUGUUGCAAAAAGCUGUGAACUGAAUCAAGGAAUUCUGAAUUUUAACAGUUGUUCCACGUCAGAAAUUUCGGCACUAGCCUCGGUUAAAUAUCACAGUGGCAGAUAAUGCUACAGCUUAAAAGGGUGAAUUUGCUCGAAGCUUUGCCUGCUCCAUUGCCAUAACUUCAGCGGGAUUGGUAGAAUCCCUGUUUAUGUGUAUAAAUGGGCUUCCGCCAAUGUUAAGGCAACAAAGGAGGAAAAGUCCAAGAAAAUUCAGCCACAUAGUUUUGGUAUUAACAUCAAAUAGCUAUAUUAUCAAAUACGAAUAUUACGUAGUACUAAAAUUAUACCAAAUUGUAAGCCUUCUCCUUUUCUGAGUGAUAUAUAGCAGAGGGUUCUUACUGCUCAGGAAAUAACGGAGACAGGCAAAUUCAUAUUGUUUCAAAUUUGGCAAGUAAGGAAACAAAGAAGAAAAUAAUAUGUACUUACAGAACAUUGACCUCAAUAGGAUAAGGCUUCCGAAUGGUUUUAAGUGCCAUUUUGAAGCAAUUUUUGUUGUUGUCUCAUGAUCUGGGAGGAAAUAACUAUUUAAAUUUCCUGUACUGUGUGUGGCCAUUUCUCCAGUGCUCUGUUCAAUUCUCAUAUGCCAGUUUAUAAAUGUCAAAAAUACAUUUAAAUUAGUCUGGUGAUGUCCUAUUCAGCAUUGUUAAUCUUCACCCUGCACCAUUGAAUCAGGUCGUUUUUUUUUAAUACCAUUGACAGAAACCACACAAAUAAAAUCUUGCCCUGAAA